rnacentral:rRNA from 1 species
UACAGAGGUCUCAAGCGUUGUCCGGAUUUACUGGGCGUAAAGAGCGCGCAGGCGGUCGUUCAAGUCGCGUGUGAAAGCCCCCGGCUCAACUGGGGAGGGUCACGCGAUACUGAUCGACUCGAAGGCAGGAGAGGGAAGUGGAAUUCCCGGUGUAGUGGUGAAAUGCGUAGAUAUCGGGAGGAACACCUGCGGCGAAGGCGGGUUGCUGGGCCGACACGUGACGCUGAUGCGCGAAAGCCAGGGGAGCGAACGGG